rnacentral:rRNA from 1 species
GACAUGCAGAGAACUUUCCAGAGGUGGAUUGGUGGCCUUCGGGAACUCUGACACAGGUGCUGCAUGGCUGUCGUCAGCUCGUGUCGUGAGAUGUUGGGUUAAGUCCCGUAACGAGCGCAACCCUUGUCCUUAGUUACCAGCACGUUAUGGUGGGCACUCUAAGGAGACUGCCGGUGACAAACCGGAGGAAGGUGGGGAUGACGUCAAGCCAUCAUGGCCCUUACGGCCUGGGCUACACACGUGCUACAAUGGUCGGUACAAAGGGUUGCCAAGCCGCGAGGUGGAGCUAAUCCCAUAAAACCGAUCGUAGUCCGGAUCGCAGUCUGCAACUCGACUGCGUGAAGUCGGAAUCGCUAGUAAUCGUGAAUCAGAAUGUCACGGUGAAUACGUUCCCGGGCCUU